AUUGAACGCUGGCGGCAUGCCUUACACAUGCAAGUCGAACGGCAGCACGGGAGCAAUCCUGGUGGCGAGUGGCGAACGGGUGAGUAAUACAUCGGAACGUGCCCAGUAGUGGGGGAUAGCCCGGCGAAAGCCGGAUUAAUACCGCAUGAGACCUGAGGGUGAAAGCGGGGGAUCGCAAGACCUCGCGCUAUUGGAGCGGCCGAUGUCAGAUUAGCUAGUUGGUAGGGUAAAGGCCUACCAAGGCAACGAUCUGUAGUUGGUCUGAGAGGACGACCGGCCACACGGGGACUGAGACACGGCCCAGACUCCUACGGGAGGCAGCAGUGGGGAAUUUUGGGCAAUGGGCGCAAGCCUGAUCCAGCAAUGCCGCGUGCAGGAAGAAGGCCUUCGGGUUGUAAACUGCUUUUGUCAGGGAAGAAAUCUUCUGGGCUAAUACCCUGGGAGGAUGACGGUACCUGGAGAAUAAGCACCGGCUAACUACGUGCCAGCCGCCGCAGUAAGAC
rnacentral:rRNA from 1 species